AGAAUAGAUUAGCCCAGGAUAGCAUCAAUGAACUCCUAGCUCAGACGAUGAGCCUAGGUUUGGAGGCCAUUUCGAACAAACAUUUGAUCAGAGAAAAGGCUCAUCUCUUAAGACAGGAGAUUCUGAAGGCGGUCCAGGAUGCAUCUUCUACCAAGGCCCAACUCUCCACUGCCCAGGACUACAUCGCCGAGAUAGAAGGUCAG
rnacentral:misc_RNA from 1 species